GACAAACGCUGGCGGCGUGCUUAACACAUGCAAGUCGAACGGUUCCACUUCGGUGGAAUAGUGGCGGACGGGUGAGUAACACGUAGUUGACCUGCCCUAUUGUGGGGAAUAACUCCUCGAAAGAGGAGCUAAUACCGCAUAAGCUCUCUUACGUUGGUAGGAGAGGAAACGCUUCAUUCGUGAGGCGGCAAAAGGAGGGGACUGCGGCGGAUUAGCUAGAUGGUGGGGUAAUGGCCUACCANGGCGACGAUCCGUAGCUGGUCUGAGAGGACGACCAGCCACACUGGGACUGGA
rnacentral:rRNA from 1 species